GUGGGGAGCAAACAGGAUUAGAUACCCUGGUAGUCCACGCCCUAAACGAUGUCAAUUAGUUGUUGGUUCUUUAUUGAAUCAGUAACGUAGCUAACGCGUGAAAUUGACCGCCUGGGGAGUACGGUCGCAAGAUUAAAACUCAAAGGAAUUGACGGGGACCCGCACAAGCGGUGGAUGAUGUGGAUUAAUUCGAUGCAACGCGAAAAACCUUACCUACCCUUGACAUGUUCGGAAUUCUGCAGAGAUGCGGAAGUGCUCGAAAGAGAACCGGAACACAGGUGCUGCAUGGCUGUCGUCAGCUCGUGUCGUGAGAUGUUGGGUUAAGUCCCGCAACGAGCGCAACCCUUAUCAUUAGUUGCUACGCAAGGGCACUCUAAUGAGACUGCCGGUGACAAACCGGAGGAAGGUGGGGAUGACGUCAAGUCCUCAUGGCCCUUAUGGGUAGGGCUUCACACGUCAUACAAUGGUCGGUACAGAGGGCUGCCAACCCGCAAGGGGGAGCCAAUCCUUUAAAACCGAUCGUAGUCCGGAUUGAGGUCUGCAACUCGACCUCAUGAAGUCGGAAUCGCUAGUAAUCGCGGAUCAGCAUGUCGCGGUGAAUACGUUCCCGAGUCUUGUACACACCGCCCGUCACACCAUGGGAGCGGGUUUUACCAGAAGUAGCUAGCCUAACCGCAAGGGGGGCGGUUACCACGGUAGGAUUCGUGACUGGGGUG
rnacentral:rRNA from 1 species